rnacentral:rRNA from 1 species
AAUAUUUGACAAUGGGGGCAACCCUGAUCCAGCCAUGCCUCGUGUGUGAAGAAGGUCUUCGGAUUGUAAAGCACUUUAAGUUGGGAGGAAGGGCGUUAGGUUAAUACCCUGAAGUUUUGACGUUACCAACAGAAUAAGCACCGGCUAACUCUGUGCCAGAAGCCGCGGUAAUACAGAGGGUGCAAGCGGUAAUCGGAAUUACUGGGCGUAAAGCGCGCGUAGGUGGGUCAGUAAGAUGGGUGUGAAAUCCCCGGGCUUAACCUGGGAACUGCUUUCAUAACUGCUGAGCUAGAGUACGGUAGAGGGUAGUGGAAUUUCCUGUGUAGCGGUGAAAUGCGUAGAUAUAGGAAGGAACACCAGUGGCGAAGGCGACUACCUGGACUGAUACUGACACUGAGGUGCGAAAGCGUGGGGAGCAAUA